UACAGAGACCUCAAGCGUUAUCCGGAUUUAUUGGGCGUAAAGCGCAGGUAGGCGGACAUGUUAGUCGGAUGUCAAAUAUCCCGGCUCAACCGGGAAAGGGCAUUCGAAACGGCAUGUCUCGAGGCAGUGAGAGAUCGGUGGAAUUCACGGUGUAGUAGUGAAAUGCGUUGAUAUCGUGAGGAACACCCAAGGCGAAGGCAACCGAUUGGCACUGAUCUGACGCUGAGCUGCGAAAGCGUGGGGAGCGAAUGGG
rnacentral:rRNA from 1 species